rnacentral:lncRNA from 1 species
AUUUAACUGUAAGCAAUGAAACUUUACAAAACAACGACAAUUGAUCUGUCUUCUAAGUCAUAAGUCAGAAAUUAACUGUCAGUAAGCGUAAUGACUGGAAAACUUAACUCUCGAUUGGACACUUUCCGAAAAAUUGCCAACUUCGAGAACAGUAGAUAAUAAAGAAACUUGUUUUUCCUGCUCAGCAAAAUAACCAGUAGACACAAUGUAGGUAAUAUAUGUAAGCAACGCUAUUCUUAUUGCCGAGGCUGACGGCUGUCGAGUAUCGUGAGGCCCGAGAUCUGUGACGUAAGGCCGUACCCCCAGCCCGUGACAAGACUCGCCCCCACUCAACGAGGGUUGAGAGGACUACGAGAGAGAUUGUUAGGGGCAUUCCGACGCCACCCUUCAUGAGGACCUCACGCGAUGGGUCCUAGUACAACGUCCUCCAGUCAUUGUCAUCCCUUAAUUAUAUUGGCUUUUAUUAGAUGUCUCAUUCCGUAGUCAUUGUCGGGUUAUUACUUGUAGAUGUAUAAAUAAAUAUGAGUGGUAUACAAAAUAUAAACCUCGAGUCUUACAGAUCAGAAGUGGGAUUGGAAAUCCGUGUUCCGUGGAAAGUGUGGUGUAUUAAUGUUAUAAUAAGUUAUAAUAUAUUAAUUAUAAUUGAGAAGUUAUUGUUAGUGCAAAUAUUGUGGUUUCGCAUCAGUUUCAAGGUCAAUAGGUUGAGUGCUGGGUCAACUCUACUCAAUCCUCAAAUUUGGCUACUUCGUAGUUAGAUCACCCAAGGUCAUGUUACUACAUCUUCGAAAAUUGCAACUUCUCUGAAAAAUUAAAGUAGUUAAGAAUAUCCAUAGCUGCGGUCGAGAUAGGCUUUGUAGAGGAGUCGUACUUGCAGAAGGAACCAGGACUAAAGCAUCUGGAGAAGGUGGAAUUAUGAAGAAGCAGAACAACUCAAUGGUGAUCUGUUUUGCAACUGAAAUUGCAUUCUCAGCGAGUUCACCAGAAAUCGGGUGCAGAUAAUGGAUGAUGAGUUCAACGCAAAAGAAGUUACUGGAUUCAACGUCAGAGUGACAUCAACAACGGAUGAUUACGAUAAAAUAGUUCAUCAGCAAAUGAGGAAUCAGGGCCUUAAGCUGGUCAACUCAUCAUCGCUCAUUUGGUAAUACGACACUGAGUGUCAUGGUUAUAAUGAACGAUAAAUUUGGUAAUGUAGAAGUUAAAAGUAAUUAAUUAUGAUACAACUUGAGUUGGUAUAUUAAGAGGUAUAAUCAAGUAGGCUUAGUAAUGCUUGCUCGAUAAUAAAUAAAGUGUUAUUGCAAGUAGUAAUUGUAAUAGCAUGAAGAAAUAGUAAAUUAAUAAAUAAUGAAGGAGAACUCCGAAUUAUGCAUACCGGAUGUAGCAUUGAUAUACUUGCGCGAUCAAGUAGUGAGUACUCGCUAUGCGGUUCCAAAGAAUGUUGUCGCGGUUAUAAGUAACUAUACAUUUUCAAAAUAAAUAAGCAGUAGUCUUAAUCAGAAUCACAAUAUAAUUUAGUAACGCCUUGAUUUUUAAUCGUUACAAUUGGAUAUUAGUUAGCUAUAAGAGAGUAUAAUGAUUGAUUUUAUUAAUGUGGAGUUAUUGCAAAUUGCAAAGAUUAACAAUUCGGAAAACGAACUUAUUAUUAGGUAUAGUUAGUAUAUAUACUCAAAUCUGAUUGAAAAAUAAUGAAUAAGCAUGUUAAUAAUAUAUAUAAAAUAUAUGACACCAAGUUUGAAGAAAUUAUCUUUGGCAAAACUAUAAAAUAGAACCCGGCGGUCACAUAUAUUUUGUGAACAAUACACAAAGGAGAAAGUAGAAACUAGUAAAUAGUUAUAACGUAGAAAUUCGAAAUGCCUAAAUAACACAUGUUGGUAUAAAAGUGUUUCUAGUUAAAGUCUUUGAAAAGUUCAAAAUAUCCUUUUCGUUAGUCGUUGAAAAUAAAUAUUACGUGUGUUGCAAGUAACUCAAUAAGUAAAAUUCAUUGUUGGUAGAAAAAUUAUGUUGAGUCGAGUUUAAGAAAAUUUUAAAAACAUAUCAACACAAAACAGAUGGUUUCAAGGACAUAGUAUUAGAAUUACUAUACGAGGAAACCUCGGGUUUAGUUUUCUCACAGCCGAGUCUUUAUCUCGCAAGAAACCCUUGUUUUAUUA